rnacentral:tRNA from 2 species
GCCACCUUAGCUCAGUUGGUAGAGCAACUCUCUUGUAAAGAGUAGGUCGUCAGUUCGACUCUGACAGGUGGCUCCA